rnacentral:misc_RNA from 1 species
UUUUUUUUCUUCCUUUGGGUGGAAAGAUGUUUUAUCCUUUAUGUUGUUUAUUUUAUGACGUUCUGAGAAUCUUCAGCACGGUCAGGGUGAAAAGGGUCUAUCCGCUGUUAUGGUCUUAUAGAUAUCGAGAUUUUGCCUUUAAGUGAAUCUCUUGCAACAUUUCAAUGGAGUUUUUCGUUUUUAGAUGAGGAAUUAUUGCUCAUGUUAAUAAAGUUCUGGAAUUUCGAUUGCACUGGCUUUAUUGUUGAUCCAACAUCUAAAUCCCCAAAUUGGUCCAGUGGCAUCCUUUGGGUAUCAUUUGGUUCACAUGCUUGUUCAAGGACCUUGUGUUUGGGAGGAGAUAGAAUAAAGUAAGGUUUCAUAAAGUAAAGUUUUUCAAAGCAAGGUUUUUCAUGGGUUUCAAACCUUCAUAAUUUUUUUUUAGUGUUUGGGAGGAAGGGAAUGUUUUUUAAAGUAAUUGGAGGUUUUCAAACCUUGUUAACCCACCAAUUUGGUGGGUUGGAAAAUGAAGGUUUUUGGAGUUUUUCAUGCGUUGAUGAAAUACUAUGGCAUCAUUUUGUUUUCAUUUUGAGACAUGUUUUCCAUUUUUCCGUCUAAGAAGUCAUCUACUUGGGGAUUCUUUGUGCAUGAAUGCAAGCCGAAUUAAGCGGUCCCUGUCUGAAGACUCGGAGCAAUAUGCUUCUCUGUUAAUAUCCUAAACUUUUUUCUAGAAACUUUCACAUUUUAUGUUGAGCAAAUUAGUGGAUAACUGAACUUGAUAUUUUACUUCACAGGUGGUGUUGUAAAUUUUUGAGCCUUGUUGUUCUAAGUUAUUUACAUUGCAGCUCUUGGCAGCAGACCCAGCUCUUAAGCGAUUCAAGUCACAUAAGAAGAGUGUGCA